AUUAAUAAGCGGAGGAAAAGAAACUAACAAGGAUUCCCUCAGUAACGGCGAGUGAAGCGGGAAGAGCUCAAAUUUGAAAUCUCCGAUGCUUGCAUCGGCGAGUUGUAGUUGCGAGAAGCACUUUCUAGGUGGAUCGCCGGUGCCUAAGUUGCUUGGAACAGCACGUCGCAGAGGGUGACAACCCCGUCUGUGGCGCCGGCGGCCGCUGACGAUGUGCUUUCGAAGAGUCGGGUUGUUUGGGAAUGCAGCCCAAAAUGGGUGGUAAACUCCAUCUAAAGCUAAAUACUGGCGUGAGACCGAUAGCGAACAAGUACCGUGAGGGAAAGAUGAAAAGAACUUUGAAAAGAGAGUUAAAAAGUACGUGAAACCGUCGGAAGGGAAACGAAUGGACUCAGCAAUGCGCCCUCUGAGAUUCAGCCGGUGGGUGGCGUCGGCGCUGGGUUUGCGGAUCUGAAUGGACCGCGGCCCUGCGCUCGGUGUCCCCCGCCGUCGCACUUCUCUGGGGCGCGCGUCAACGUGGGUUGGGACUGGGUCUGAAAGGUGCCGGGAAGGUAGGUGUGGGCCUUCGGGUCCGUUCUGUUACAGCCCGGCUCUCUCAUGGCUCGGGCCCGACCGAGGAGUCAGACAGGGCAUGCCUCCUGUGGCUAGGGUCCCGUCCUUCCGGCCGGCUGUCCAGUGUGGUGGACUGCUUGCAGUGCUCCGCGACGGCUGCCGGUCGUUGGGGUGGUGAUCUCGUACCAUGCCCUUA
rnacentral:rRNA from 1 species